rnacentral:rRNA from 1 species
UACGUAGGGGGCAAGCGUUGUCCGGAUUUAUUGGGCGUAAAGAGCGUGUAGGCGGCCUGACAGGUCUGCUGUGAAAACUCGAGGCUCAACCUCGAGAUGUCGGCGGAAACCGUCUGGCUAGAGUCCGGAAGGGGAGAGUGGAAUUCCUGGUGUAGCGGUGAAAUGCGCAGAUAUCAGGAAGAACACCUAUGGCGAAGGCAGCUCUCUGGGACGGUACUGACGCUGAGACGCGAAAGCGUGGGGAGCGAACAGG